UACGAAGGGGGCUAGCGUUGCUCGGAAUCACUGGGCGUAAAGCGCACGUAGGCGGACUUUUAAGUCGGGGGUGAAAUCCUGGAGCUCAACUCCAGAACUGCCUUUGAUACUGGAAGUCUUGAGUUCGAGAGAGGUGAGUGGAACUGCGAGUGUAGAGGUGAAAUUCGUAGAUAUUCGCAAGAACACCAGUGGCGAAGGCGGCUCACUGGCUCGAUACUGACGCUGAGGUGCGAAAGCGUGGGGAGCAAACAGG
rnacentral:rRNA from 1 species